rnacentral:rRNA from 1 species
ACCUUCGGGGAACGAUAACGGCGUCGAGCGGCGGACGGGUGAGUAAUGCCUAGGAAAUUGCCCUGAUGUGGGGGAUAACCAUUGGAAACGAUGGCUAAUACCGCAUGAUGCCUACGGGCCAAAGAGGGGGACCUUCGGGCCUCUCGCGUCAGGAUAUGCCUAGGUGGGAUUAGCUAGUUGGUGAGGUAAGGGCUCACCAAGGCGACGAUCCCUAGCUGGUCUGAGAGGAUGAUCAGCCACACUGGAACUGAGACACGGUCCAGACUCCUACGGGAGGCAGCAGUGGGGAAUAUUGCACAAUGGGCGCAAGCCUGAUGCAGCCAUGCCGCGUGUGUGAAGAAGGCCUUCGGGUUGUAAAGCACUUUCAGUCGUGAGGAAGGUAGUGUAGUUAAUAGCUGCAUUAUUUGACGUUAGCGACAGAAGAAGCACCGGCUAACUCCGUGCCAGCAGC